CCGUGAUGCUGUCGUCAGUUCGCCUGCAAUCCACCGACCGGCAACUUGUGAUGCACCGACUACAGUGCCUCAACACACGCGCCAUCCACGACCUUCACAUCAAAUCGAUUUCGGCUAGCAUUGUGAGCUGAAAAUAAAAAAACCGCAAUUGCCAAAAAAGACGGUGUACAUCAAUAGUCACAGACAUAAUAAAAUGAAUUUCGGGUUGCAGAUAACUAAAAAAAAUUGCUGUUUUUUCUUUCGAAUAUGGCGAUACCAAAAAAAAAAAAAGGAAUUAUCUAUCAAGAGCAACUAAAUCAAUGAUUCCAUACAAUUCUAUAUUAUGCUCAAUUAUUACACAUGAUUAUUAAUGCAAUCUCAUCAAUGUUUAUCAUGUAUAAUAUUACACUGGUAUUGGCAUCAACGAAAUAUCAUAAAUUUUAAUGUUUUAUUAUUAUUAUUAUUUCGUAAAAACAAUAAAUUAUUACAAGCUAUCGUUUUACAAUACCAUUAAAAUUGAUUCUCAUGGUAAAUUUUUCUGUUUAUUCUAUAAAAACCGUUAUAGUAUCGCUAUUUUAUUGCUGUCGGUGAAAAUAAACGUGCACACAAAUGUCUGGUAUUUAACACGAACAAUAAAUGUCAUUUUGUUAAUCCAAUAUAUUUUCCUAUAAUUCUUAUUUAUUCAA